GACGAACGCUGGCGGCGUGCCUAAUACAUGCAAGUAGGACGCAGUUGCGAACGGGUGAGUAACGCGUAGGUAACUACCUAUUAGAGGGGGAUAACUAUUGGAAACGAUAGCUAAUACCGCAUACUAGUAGAUGGACCUGCGUUGUAUUAGCUAGUAGGUAGGGUAAUGGCCUACCUAGGCAACGAUACAUAGCAGAACUGAGAGGGUGAUCGGCCUCACUGGAACUAGGUCACGGCCCAGACUUCUACGGGAGGCAGCAGUAGGGAAUCUUCGGCAAUGGGGGGAACCCUGACCAAGCAACGCCGCGUGAGUGAAGAGGGUUUUCGGAUCGUAAAGCUCUGUUGUUAAGGAGGCGCUACUUAACCAGAAAGGGACGGCUAACUACGUGCCAGCGGCCGCGGUGAUAG
rnacentral:rRNA from 1 species